rnacentral:tRNA from 1 species
GGCAGUUUGGUUCAGUGGUAGAAUUCUCACCUUCUGUGUGGGAGACCUGGGUUCGAUUCUCAGCCA